rnacentral:rRNA from 1 species
GUGCGGCGUAGGCGGUUUUAGUAAGACUGUCGUGAAAUCCCCCGGGCUCAACCUGGGAAUGGCGAUGGUGACUGCAAGGCUAGAGUUUGGCAGAGGGGGGUAGAAUUCCACGUGUAGCAGUGAAAUGCGUAGAUAUGUGGAGGAACACCGAUGGCGAAGGCAGCCCCCUGGGUCAAAACUGACGCUCAUGCACGAAAGCGUGGGGAGCAAACAGGAUUAGAUACCCCAGU